rnacentral:rRNA from 1 species
CUUAAAUUGAAGAGUUUGAUCAUGGCUCAGAUUGAACGCUGGCGGCAGGCCUAACACAUGCAAGUCGAGCGGAAACGACAACAUUGAUUCUUCGGAGGAUUUGUUGGGUGUCGAGCGGCGGACGGGUGAGUAAUGCCUAGGAAAUUGCCUUGAUGUGGGGG